rnacentral:rRNA from 1 species
UUAAUUAAGAGUUUGAUCCUGGCUCAGGACGAACGCUGGCGGCACGCUUAACACAUGCAAGUCGAACGAGAGAAGAGAAGCUUGCUUUUCUGAUCUAGUGGCGGACGGGUGAGUAACACGUGAGCAAUCUGCCUUUCAGAGGGGGAUACCG